UUCCAUUCAACCUUCAAAAAUUGGUACACAAUAGUUAUUUCAUAGGUCAUUAUAUUGAAUAUAACUUAAAAAAUUGUGGUGAACAAAUUAACUAGUGCUGCGUGACAACAUCCAACUCGUUUGUGUAGGCCCUGUAGCGCCUAUCCGGAUUGCCAUGAACGGGCUACACAUGCUUCCACACAUAAUAGAAUGUGGGAUGAGCAUCAUUUCGAUGCCAUUG
rnacentral:lncRNA from 1 species